AUUGAACGCUGGCGGCAUGCUUUGCACAUGCAAGUCGAACGGUAACAGGUUAAGCUAACGAGUGGCGAACGGGUGAGUAAUACAUCGGAACGUGCCCGAUCGUGGGGGAUAACGAAGCGAAAGCUUUGCUAAUACCGCAUAAGAUCUACGGAUGAAAGCAGGGCACCGCAAGGCCUGGCGGGAACGGAGCGGCCGAUGGCAGAUUAGGUAGUUGGUGGGAUAAAAGCUUACCAAGCCGACGAUCUGUAGCUGGUCUGAGAGGACGACCAGCCACACUGGGACUGAGACACGGCCCAGACUCCUACGGGAGGCAGCAGUGGGGAAUUUUGGACAAUGGGCGAAAGCCUGAUCCAGCCAUGCCGCGUGCAGGAUGAAGGCCUUCGGGUUGUAAACUGCUUUUGUACGGAACGAAAAGACUCUUUCUAAUAAAGAGGGUCCAUGACGGUACCGUAAGAAUAAGCACCGGCUAACUACGUGCCAGCCGCCGCAGUAA
rnacentral:rRNA from 1 species